CCUGGUGACUCUCGCUUCCUCUUUUCCAGCGGACGCUACCAGAGGGCGAAGGUCCGACUCUGGCCAACGGCCCAGAAUUUCUGGCCCAGUUUUGCCUGAGGAAGCCAAUUGUGCAGGAGGUCAGGAUCCCGGUAGGGUGAGAGUGGGAAAGUUAACAUUCCCAAGAGACUCCAAGCAACAGGAUUUCCUGACUUGGGACUAUUACCUUUCUCACAUUACAUGGCCAGAUUUACUUCCUGCUAUUAUUAAAAGUAUGAAAAAGAUGAAGAUAUUUGUUUAAUGGAAACAAGGGCAAGAGUUUGCCUAACUCUGGACUUCGAGGAGGUGGUAGGAUCUUGGUGCUAACGGCAGUUGGAGGGCUGGGAGGGGACACUAACCCUGGCUUUACCUGCGUUUGUCAUCAGCUGAAGCAGGUAACUCCACAACCUCGGAGCCUCAGUUUCCUUUUCUGUAAAAGGCGGGGAGGGUGGGUGGUAAGUGCAAUGCUGAAUCAGACCUCACAGAGCUGCUGGGUGGACAUGUGGGGUAAAAGAGGGGACAUGCUUUGCAACCUGAAGAGUGCCCUUUGCAUUUUCCUUAUCAGUUUGUUCUCCUCCAAUUAUCCAGCACCUCCAUCUGGCCUUCUCAGCUGAGAGGUCCUCAGUGUUCCUGCGGCCUCCAGGAGAAAGGGCCCCCUCCCCGGCUGAGGCCAGGCUGAUGGCAGGCUGCACCACCAGCCUUCCACAGUCACCUGGAGGAUAGAGAAAAGGAAGAGCUGGAGGCUUCUAGCAAGCUGCCGAGCUGUGUCCUCCAGCUGUGCCCAGCCCCCUGGAGGUCGCGCCGGAGCACGUGGUGGUGGCUAUGUAGGAAGCCCCUUUCGUGCCGCCCCAUACUGUCUUUGGGAUCUACUUUUUACUGCCACAGCCUAUGUGCUCUUGAUUCUUCUCUCAAGCCCUGGAUGGAAACCGGUCCCUGAUCCCCGGCUCUGCUUCCUUGGAGGAGCUACUUAACCAUUCAGUUCUCUCUGCAGUUAGCUAUUAAGGUUGUCCUGCGAUCUGAAGCAGAGAGUCCCCGCAAAGGAUGCAGAGUAGAGCACCCACAGAGGCGCCUCCAAAGCACUUUCCAUGAGAUACCUCCGGAGCAGCUCAGAAUCAAAUGCCUUGGGUUGGGGACAAGUCGAGGCAGAAUGCAGAAAGAAGUACUUUGUGCCAGGCAGAGAUUCUCCACCCUUCCUGUUGUGUGAUUCGGAGCACGUCACUCCUCAUUCUCAGCCUUGGAUUCCUCUUCUGGAAAAUGGGAAGAGAUUGGUUCAUUCAGAUGGCUUGGGAGUUGAGAGUCCUAGCAGAAUGCCUGGCACACAAUAGUUACGCCGUAGCCCCUGUUCUUAAUCAACAGCUUGACUGAAGCACGGCCAGGGAGAAGCAUGACUUUGUGCAUGGACUUGGGUGCCCUUGGAUGGUUGCUUGGUCAGCUAAGUGCUCCUUGUCGAGCAUCCCUUUGAUCAAGCCACUUCCCUUCUCAAAAGCGCUCAUUGGCUUCCUGGCUCCCCUGAAUGCAAUCCAGAUUCUUGAACCUGGCCAUCGAGGCCUUCAUUUCCCAAAAUGUCUUUUCAGCCAACUUUUCCACUAUCCAAAGAGCCACUUAAUAAAUAUUUCAAGAAA